UAUUAUGAAAACAGUUAUAAGCUUAUAUAUCCUCUCAAGGGAUGUCAGAGACCCCCAAAGGUCCAUGGACAAUACUAUGAGAAGUGCUGCUUCUUUAAAGGAAUAGAAAAGGAUCCUGGAGAGAAUUAAGGGAAAGUGUCUUUUCCCCAAUUCUUUCAUCUUUUCUUUUCUUACAGGUAAUUCCACCAGGAGGUCCCGAAUUAUAUACAUACAACACACAGGAUUCCUGGACCAUAAAGUGCUGAAGCUGACAAGAGGCAUGAAAAAGAAUCCAGUUCUUCACACAUAUGAUGAGAGAAGCCCAGAAGAGUAAAAUGAUAUGUCUUAAUCAGUUCAAUCAGCUGGAUUAGCUUUUAUUGGGUUAAGUGCACCUAAUAUAUAAAUUCCAAAGUCAAGUUG
rnacentral:lncRNA from 1 species